rnacentral:lncRNA from 1 species
CAUCAACUAUAAAAGGAAAUCAAAGCCUUAAAGGCUGUAAAAGCAAUUGCUGUCAUGUUAAUGUUUGGGGACUUUUAUUUUUCAUCCACAUAUAUAUAAUAAUUAAACCUGACAUGAGUGUUGUCUAGUUAGAAGUAAGAAGGUUUUAACUUUAUAUAAAUAAAAGACUUUAGCAGAAAGUCAUUUUUAAUAUGUUUUAUAUUUCACAAGGAGACAACACGUUUACCAGGCUAAAGUUGGGGUCAAAUAUACAUGUGCUGAAACAUAUAACUCAAAAAGAAAUCAUCAUGGAUUAUCCCUGGUAGUGUUGUAACUGGGCAAUAAUUUCCUUUAUUGAUUUAAUUUUAACAAUUUUCAUUAUUAAUUUAUAUUUAACCAUUAACACAAAUGAUUAAGUUAAAACAUUUCAACUUUCCAGACGCAAAUGUUAAAAAACGGGAAAGAAAUAAAAUAUCUUACAAGACAUAAACAUGUAAAGAAUAAAUAUAUAUUUCAGCUUAAUAAAAAUAUUUUCAUAAUGGUACUUUGUCAUCAUUUUUAAAACUAAGUUCCAAACAUUAUUGCUCAGUUGAUAUACAUGUAUGUCCUUCUGAUGCGGUACGAGC